UCGGGAAUUUUGGGCAAUGGGCGAAAGCCUGACCCAGCAACGCCGCGUGAAGGAUGAAGUAUUUCGGUAUGUAAACUUCGAAAGAAUAGGAAGAAUAAAUGACGGUACUAUUUAUAAGGUCCGGCUAACUACGUGCCAGCAGCCGCGGUAAUACGUAGGGACCAAGCGUUGUUCGGAUUUACUGGGCGUAAAGGGCGCGUAGGCGGCAAUUCAAGUCAUCUGUGAAAUCUCCGGGCUUAACUCGGAACGGUCAGAUGAUACUGCUUUGCUAGAGUGCAGAAGGGGCAAUCGGAAUUCUCGGUGUAGCGGUGAAAUGCGUAGAGAUCGGGAGGAACACCAGAGGCGAAGGCGGCGACCUGGACAGGUACUGACACUAAACUACGAAAGCGUGGGGAGCAAACAGGAUUAGAUACCCCGGUAGUCCCUGAGCGGGCUGGCAAGGCGCAU
rnacentral:rRNA from 1 species